CACACACACACUACCACACAUGCAUGACACACACACACACAGUAACAUACAUGCAUUACACCUGAGAGUAUGAGAGCAAACAAAAGCUUCUGCAGACACACAGGAACAUCAAGUGCAGAACAGCCCGACAGCACGACUCCACUACAGCAGGAGAUGGUCUCAGCUCAGUGCUCUGCAUCGUGAGUGCUGCUGGAAGAAGCUGCCGGUGCUUUGGGAGACGUGCAGAGAGAUUGCCCAUAAAAUCUCCUUCCGCCUCGGGGUUCUCCUCAGCGGAACAUGUGACCACAACUCCACAGUGGGUUCAGACACAUUCGAGAACUACAGCCUCCCUCCGGAACCCUCUCCCCUCGCCCUCUGCUCCACAGGAAGUACCCCCCCGACCUCCAAAUCCCACGCUGGAAGUGGAAUUCACCCAGCGCAGACCAGGGCUUCAGUUCAUUAGACUCACGGCAUCGACACAACUACAACAGCAUAGGUGGUGAACACGCACACACACACCACAGUGAAGUACACACAGUGAAAUCCUAUUAGUGUAGUGAAGCAAACAAAAUACUUAAUACUGUUACUAGGUCUUGUCGUAUCCUCAAAUAUCAAAUCAACAACCCCAACCUUUCAAAUUUAGAGCCUGGGACGAAUAAAAUAAGGGAUUUGCAUCUCUGACCUGCCAUUUAAAAACCCUUCUGAUAAGACCUGGUUAAUUGCCCACAUUUGACUCCUCAAACAGCCUAGUCUUCACCGGCAGUGGUAAACUUAAUGAGCCAGAAGAGGCUUUUUCUUUCCAGACCGCAAACAAUUGAACACAUGGAUGUUUUCUAGUUCCUCUCAAAGAACUAGCAUUUCCAACACUUUGGGUGAAGCAGGACUUAACUCUUGGUUCUCCAGUCAGUCAUUUGCAGUAUUAUGCACUGCAUGUCAGGGACGGAGGGAUGAAAAAGAAAAAUGAAGAGAGUGGGAGGGAGGAGAAGACAAGGAAGGGGUGAGAGGCGUGAGAGAAGAGAGAUGUAUGGCAUGGAAGACAGCGGUAGAAGACUGAAUCAUGUAUGUGUGUGUAUGGUGUGUAAGAGUGUGUGUAUGUGUGUGCGUGGGCAUCCGUAGAUGUGAUUUCCAGAGUGUGUAUGACCCCAUCGCUCAGAGUUAACGAGGCAGGGGCGAGGGAGCGUGAGCGAGGCGAGGCAGGUCAGCCUAGAGAGAGGCCCCCCGAGCAGACGGAGCAGAUAGCUCACGUCUUUAUCAGCCGAGGACGCAAGCGCUGAGUCGUGAUGGACGAUUCCUCGUUGAAGCCCAACGUUAUUGGCUUUCCAUGAAAAGUGUCCCGGAUGGAACAACAUGAAAAGCCAGCGUCAAACAGGAAGCUGUCAGCUUAUGGGCUGGAAGUAGAGUAUCUGGGUCUAGGACAGUAUGGAUAGCAUUAUGUAUAAAGUAUAGCAGCAUAUGCUGAAGAAUGAGGAUAGCUGACAUGUUGUGUCCAGAUGAUGAGGGACUGUGUCUGAGGAGACAGACAAGGAGGAGACAAAGACAGACACUGACUCAGAGUAGAGCAGAGUAGAGUGGAAUAGAGCAGAGCAGAGUUCAGUAGAAUAGAGUAGAACAGAAACAGAAUAGAUUAGAGUAAAGUAGAGCAGAGUACAGGAAAGUAGAAUAAAUACAGAAUAGUAUACAGUAGAGCAGAGUACAGUAGAGUAGAAUAGAGACAGAGUAGUAGAGUAGAGCAGAGUAGCCAUAGAGCAAACAGAGUGGAGUAGAGCACAGUAAACAGAGCAGAACCGAGCAGAACACAGUAGAAUGUAGCAGAACAGGGAAGAACACAGAGAAGGAAUUUGACAUUCCAGGCUUUGUCACUGCUGCUAGUCUGUGUCUCUGUUCCUCUUUUGUUGAAAGUGGGUUGCCCAUAGAUAGAAAUGGGGUGCAUUAUGGGAAAGCAGGGAGGAAUCCGAUGACAGGAGACAUUCUGUGAUUCUGACGAGCGUCGACUGGACCUGUCAUAACCCCUCGUCCUUACACAACCAGGCAGCAGAGGUGCAAGGCAGGAUGCUAGUGUUGGACUGAUGCCACAGCUCCACCCCAACCACUCAGCUCCUUAGUCAGCACUGGAGCCAUGACAAGUCUGAUGACUGAUUCACCUACAGUGGCUUUGCCUUCCUGUAACUCAGUCAGACAAAAGGGCAGGUCCAUAUUUUGUCCAUUUGCCUGCAGAGGGUGGACUAAUGGACAACUAAGGAUCCGAGUUCAGUGGUUAAAGCAUUUGACAGCAGAUCAAGAGGUUUCAGGUUCAAAUCCCCCUCUGCUAAAUGAAUACAUUCCACACACACACACACACGUGAAAUGGAGUAGGGCGCUGUUUUUUGGUGUACCCAGCCCUUGUCUGCCUUUCUGGGCUCCCCAUGCCUGGGGAUGGAUGUGAUGAACUUUCAUCCAGACAUUAACUGAAUGGAUUGUGAAUUCAAUUAACCUUAUCUGCACCUUGGCACAACCCGAGCAGAGGAAUGUUGGGGGUGGGCAUGUAUGUAGGGAGGGGUGGGUGGGUGUAGUCUGUGGUAUGGAGGUGGGGUUUACCCACAGUAAAAGUGAAGGUACGGCUCCCUUCCUUAUAAGGACAAGCCUGGACAAAUUAGCCCCAGUGGUAAACACCUGCACUCCACCUCCGGCAACGACAACACUGGAGAAUGGAGAACAGAGUGGUGUGAGAUGAAAGACAGAUAUGACGAGAGAGAAAGAAAAAAAGAGAGACAGAGAUACGGGACGGAGCAAAGGACAAAAAUGAGGUGCUAUCAAAACAUCAUAGUCAUCCACAGACAACCUGCCACAUUGCUUGGCACUUCACAAGUCUGCUCACAGGAACAGAAUUCAUACAGGAAAUAAGCCUUGGUUUUCCAAAAUGAUGAUGAUAACUAAUUGCUGCAGAUGAAAAGAAACACAUACCGUGACUUUGUAACAGUCAUUUGGCUUUGGAAAGACAGUAAGAUUCCUGAGAUAAGAGGCUCUGAGUGCCUCUACACUUCACAGUCACAAGUCAAGUUAAGACUUGAAUGAGGCUUGUCGAAAAGUGCAUUUCUUCCAGCUCUGCCAGUUCACCCAGCGCCUCAAGUUCCAGUCAAGAAACAGGUACAAAUACCUCAUUGAAAGGUGCUAGUUUCGCAUCUAAACGUUAAAUGGUUCUUUGUGGAUUUGCGGACAGGGUGAGUUCAUCUUUCGUAAGGAAGUAGGGGUUUGAUGAAGCCUGGAGAAAGCAGCGCGGGGUAAUGUGUGUGGGCUAGUCAAAUAGGCUUCCCCCGGGGCCUAGCACAUGCCAGCCACGAACAGCCCUCCCUUAUUCCCUGCUUCCACCCCAUACUUAUCUUUGUGUCUAGUCAGAGCUCAACACAACCUACUUAUCUAUACUUCUUUGCCCAGAUACACAUGAUACAAUUCUGGAUCUGGUUGAAAACAUGUGACCGCCCCCCCCUUUCCCCUCCCCAUCUCUCUCUCACACACAGUGUGUUUAUCAGGGGAAACAACAUGGUAUUGUCAUUAACAACAUCGUUAUCAGAUAAUCCAACAGCGCAAGAACAGCACGGUUUCUGAAUGAUGUCUCUAGGUAAGUCCCCCUGACUUAGAGGAGUCGAUAAUUAUUCACUCAUGAUGUAGGACCUGACAUGCCUAAACGUUGCAUUUUUCGCUUUCACCGGUAGCAGUCUGGCGAUGACAUAAUUCAGGAAACUGGAAGCCGAAGCUUUCAAACUACAAAAAAGAAACUGGGAAAAAGUUUUCCAACUGCAGCGAGAGGGGCCGUUUAUGACCAUUUUUGGGCACGCUCGCUCCAAUGCAAGCCCAACCCAAACCACACUGCUCGCUCAGAUUCCCCAGAAUGUUCUUCCCCCAGUUCAAACUUCACUGAAGUGUGGGAGCGCAAGGGUACACAGAUGUGGCACCCGGUCUCCAAAUCGGACCCAAGUGACACCAUUACUGAAGCAUUUAUUCAAACACAUCAAAUUACACCAAAUCAGUUCACUUACAACUGUGCUGCCUUGUGAACGUGGGAGACCACCAGCAUCAUGGUUUCCUAGACAACGGUGACAUCAUCUACCCCAUUCUGACCACGGGACAGCUGGGGAAUCUGUAGCCGUCUGAUAGGGCGUGGCCUCCUUAUCUGAUGGGAAGACGUUAGUCCAUAUAUGGGCAUUCAGAACCUUACCAGACAUCAUUGUUUUGUUACUAAAAACUCCAGAGGAGUUCUUCACAAUUUUGAACUUCUGUGCAAUAGGAUGUAAGUGUUGCAAUAGUGUGACGAUUCAUAUCACUAACAGUUUCUCAUUUUGACAGGGGUUUCAAAAAUAAAUAAAAACGAUGGAUAUAAAAUGAAUUAAUUGAUCAACAAGAGCUCCCUGGGCGUUGGAGCCUCUUAACAUUAAAAUCUGUCAACAUUGUCUGUUCAGGGUCACGAUGCUGAAUGGAAUGGGCUUCUUCUUAGGAGAGUUGAAGCCUUGUUGCCAUGGUGAUUCAGUCUCGGUCCAUGGCCAAAUGAUAUGUUUUAGUCUUAUUAUGGAAAAACAGUUCACCCAAAAAACACAAUGUUAUUUUUACCCCUUAAGAUGAAAAUGGUUUAUUUCAUUGUUUGAUAAAAAAAAGAAAGUUUGUUGACACCAUCAUAUAAAUGUUGAAAUGAAAGGACUGUCCCCAACAUAUGCAGGGUUGUUUGAGUACAAAUUCUGAAUGCUAACCAUCCUGAUCCUAGCAUCAAUCAGAUCAUAGCAUCAUAGUAACAAUUCAUGUUAUCACUUGAAAACAGGUUAUCCUUUAUUGCAAGAAGCAAAAACAUGGCUGACUGGUGAUAUCCAUUUGUUGGAUAAAGAGGGAGGAAAAUAAACCUAUUGGUAAGUAGGGACACUGAACACAUAAUUAUAAUGCUAAAUUAAAAGCAGAUGGUGCACACCAAGAUCGCCAUGGAGACAGUCCUCACUCGAGCACCCUGAAGCAGUCAAAGAAUCGCUCUUGAAAAGGAAGGAUUCUCCAGUUCACUCUCAGCAACAAACUGAAUUUUAUAUUUCUAUCAAACCUUGAAACAGAAGUCUUGUCUCUGAACGUAUUUCCUUACCGAAAAAAGGAUAAAAACAUCUAUGCGUUUAUUUUUAAAGCAUACAAUCAAAAGAUUUAUGCACAAAACUUAAUGAUUUGCAAAUUCACUUACAAUAGCAUUAUUUUCAAUGUUAUUCUUUAGCUUGGAUUUGAGUUUGUUUAUGUUUAGCGUCAUCAGCGGUUCAACCUUAAGAAAGAUGACAACAUCCAAAGUAUGCAAAAAGAAA